rnacentral:rRNA from 1 species
ACACCUCGGGUCUCCCGACGACGAAGGACGCAGCGAGGUGCGAUAAGUGACGUGAAAUGCGGAAUGCUGCGAAUCGUCUAGAUUUUGAACGCGGACGGCGCUUCCGGGGCCUUCCCCGGGAGCACGCCCGUCCGAGCGUCGCCCAAAUACCAUCGACCUCGGAUCGGGGCGAGAACACCCGGCGAAUUUAAGCAUAUUACUAACCGGAGGAAAAGAAACCAACAGGGACGUCCUCAGUAGCGGCGAGCGAAGCGGACGAUGCCCAAACCGAACCGCGGUUCCCGAGGGGGCCGCGGAGUGUGGAGAGGAUGAGCUCGCGAGGGGGCGGGACGGGUUCCAAUCCGUCUGGAAGGGCGGAGGCACGGAGGGCGAUUCCCCGUACGUGCUCGGUCCGUCCCCGACGAGCGAACGCAUCGGAGAGUCGGGCCGCUUGAGAGUGCAGCCCGAAUGGGGUGAUAGGUCUCAUCCAAGGCUAAGUACGUGGGAGACGCCGAUAGCGAACAAGUACGG